AGAUUAAGUUAUUAAGGGCGCACGGUGGAUGCCUUGGCACUAGAAGCCGAUGAAGGACGUUACUAACGACGAUAUGCUUUGGGUAGCUGUAAGUAAGCGUUGAUCCAGAGAUUUCCGAAUGGGGGAACCCAGCAUGAGUUAUGUCAUGUUAUCGACAUGUGAAUUCAUAGCAUGUCAGAAGGCAGACCCGGAGAACUGAAACAUCUUAGUACCCGGAGGAAGAGAAAGAAAAAUCGAUUCCCUGAGUAGCGGCGAGCGAAACGGGAAGAGCCCAAACCAACAAGCUUGCUUGUUGGGGUUGUAGGACACUCUAUACGGAGUUACAAAAGAACAUGUUAGACGAAUCAUCUGGAAAGAUGAAUCAAAGAAGGUAAUAAUCCUGUAGUCGAAAACAUAUUCUCUCUUGAGUGGAUCCUGAGUACGACGGAGCACGUGAAAUUCCGUCGGAAUCUGGGAGGACCAUCUCCUAAGGCUAAAUACUCUCUAGUGACCGAUAGUGAACCAGUACCGUGAGGGAAAGGUGAAAAGUACCCCGGAAGGGGAGUGAAAGAGAACUUGAAACCGUGUGCUUACAAGUAGUCAGAGCCCGUUAAUGGGUGAUGGCGUGCCUUUUGUAGAAUGAACCGGCGAGUUACGAUCUGAUGCAAGGUUAAGCAGCAAAUGUGGAGCCGCAGCGAAAGCGAGUCUGAAUAGGGCGUUGAGUAUUUGGUCGUAGACCCGAAACCAGGUGAUCUACCCUUGGUCAGGUUGAAGUUCAGGUAACACUGAAUGGAGGACCGAACCGACUUACGUUGAAAAGUGAGCGGAUGAACUGAGGGUAGCGGAGAAAUUCCAAUCGAACUUGGAGAUAGCUGGUUCUCUCCGAAAUAGCUUUAGGGCUAGCCUCAAGUGAUGAUUAUUGGAGGUAGAGCACUGUUUGGACGAGGGGCCCCUCUCGGGUUACCGAAUUCAGACAAACUCCGA
rnacentral:rRNA from 1 species